rnacentral:rRNA from 2 species
AUGGGGGGUGCCUAAUACAUGCAAGUCGAACGAGUUCUCGUUGAUGAUCGGUGCUUGCACCGAGAUUCAACAUGGAACGAGUGGCGGACGGGUGAGUAACACGUGGGUAACCUGCCCUUAAGUGGGGGAUAACAUUUGGAAACAGAUGCUAAUACCGCAUAGAUCCAAGAACCGCAUGGUUCUUGGCUGAAAGAUGGCGUAAGCUAUCGCUUUUGGAUGGACCCGCGGCGUAUUAGCUAGUUGGUGAGGUAAUGGCUCACCAAGGCGAUGAUACGUAGCCGAACUGAGAGGUUGAUCGGCCACAUUGGGACUGAGACACGGCCCAAACUCCUACGGGAGGCAGCAGUAGGGAAUCUUCCACAAUGGACGCAAGUCUGAUGGAGCAACGCCGCGUGAGUGAAGAAGGCUUUCGGGUCGUAAAACUCUGUUGUUGGAGAAGAAUGGUCGGCAGAGUAACUGUUGUCGGCGUGACGGUAUCCAACCAGAAAGCCACGGCUAACUACGUGCCAGCAGCCGCGGUAAUACGUAGGUGGCAAGCGUUAUCCGGAUUUAUUGGGCGUAAAGCGAGCGCAGGCGGUUUUUUAAGUCUGAUGUGAAAGCCCUCGGCUUAACCGAGGAAGCGCAUCGGAAACUGGGAAACUUGAGUGCAGAAGAGGACAGUGGAACUCCAUGUGUAGCGGUGAAAUGCGUAGAUAUAUGGAAGAACACCAGUGGCGAAGGCGGCUGUCUGGUCUGUAACUGACGCUGAGGCUCGAAAGCAUGGGUAGCGAACAGGAUUAGAUACCCUGGUAGUCCAUGCCGUAAACGAUGAAUGCUAGGUGUUGGAGGGUUUCCGCCCUUCAGUGCCGCAGCUAACGCAUUAAGCAUUCCGCCUGGGGAGUACGACCGCAAGGUUGAAACUCAAAGGAAUUGACGGGGGCCCGCACAAGCGGUGGAGCAUGUGGUUUAAUUCGAAGCAACGCGAAGAACCUUACCAGGUCUUGACAUCUUUUGAUCACCUGAGAGAUCAGGUUUCCCCUUCGGGGGCAAAAUGACAGGUGGUGCAUGGUUGUCGUCAGCUCGUGUCGUGAGAUGUUGGGUUAAGUCCCGCAACGAGCGCAACCCUUAUGACUAGUUGCCAGCAUUUAGUUGGGCACUCUAGUAAGACUGCCGGUGACAAACCGGAGGAAGGUGGGGAUGACGUCAAAUCAUCAUGCCCCUUAUGACCUGGGCUACACACGUGCUACAAUGGAUGGUACAACGAGUUGCGAGACCGCGAGGUCAAGCUAAUCUCUUAAAGCCAUUCUCAGUUCGGACUGUAGGCUGCAACUCGCCUACACGAAGUCGGAAUCGCUAGUAAUCGCGGAUCAGCACGCCGCGGUGAAUACGUUCCCGGGCCUUGUACACACCGCCCGUCACACCAUGAGAGUUUGUAACACCCGAAGCCGGUGGCGUAACCCUUUUAGGGAGCGAGCCGUCUAAGGUGAACCAAAUU